GGUGAACGCUGGCGGUGUGCUUAACACAUGCAAGUCGAACGAUGAACCCGGGUGCUUGCACUUGGGGGAUUAGUGGCGAACGGGUGAGUAACACGUGAGUAACCUGCCCUGGACUCUGGGAUAAGCGCUGGAAACGGCGUCUAAUACCGGAUAGGACCUUCGACCGCAUGGUUGGGGGUGGAAAGUUUUUUCGGUCUUGGAUGGACUCGCGGCCUAUCAGCUUGUAGGUGAGGUAAUGGCUCACCAAGGCGUCGACGGGUAGCCGGCCUGAGAGGGUGACCGGCCACACUGGGACUGAGACACGGCCCAGACUCCUACGGGAGGCAGCAGUGGGGAAUAUUGCACAAUGGGCGGAAGCCUGAUGCAGCAACGCCGCGUGGGGGACGAAGGCCUUCGGGUUGUAAACCUCUUUUAGUAGGGAAGAAGCGAAAGUGACGGUACCUGCAGAAAAAGCACCGGCUAACUACGUGCCAGCCGCCGCGGUAA
rnacentral:rRNA from 1 species